rnacentral:rRNA from 1 species
UACGAAGGGGGGCUAGCGUUGCUCGGAAUCACUGGGCGUAAAGGGUGCGCAGGCGGCUGCUCAAGUCAGGGGUGAAAGCCCAGAGCUCAACUCUGGAAUUGCCUUUGAGACUGAGUGGCUUGAGUACGGGAGAGGUGAGUGGAAUUCCCAGUGUAGAGGUGAAAUUCGUAGAUAUUGGGAAGAACAACCGGUGGCGAAGGCGGCUCACUGGCCCGUAACUGACGCUCAUGCACGACAGCGUGGGGAUCAAACAGG